rnacentral:lncRNA from 1 species
UCUGUUGAAGGGCAUCUGGGUUCUUUCCAGCUUCUGGCUAUUAUAAAAAAGGUUGCUAUGAACACAGUGGAGCGUGUAUCCCUGUUAUAUGUUGGAGCAUCUUUUUGGUGUAUGUUCAGGAGAGGUAUAGGUGGGUCCUCAGGUAGUACUAUGUCCAAUUUUCUAGAGUGGUUGUACCAGCUUGCAAUCCCACCAACAAUGGAGGAGUGUAAAUUUUAUCAGAUGUAGGAAUGUGGUAGUGAGGAUAGAUUGUGGAAAAGAGGGAGCAGACUUUCGACUGUGGGUGAGAAAACUGAGAGUGGUCCCCACCUACCCACCCACUCCUGCCUCACAACCCUAGCAUACCCCUGUGCUGGGGAUUUCUAAGCAACAUUACAGGAGGAGGAGGAAACAGUGCACAAGUUCCAUGGACUUCCUGUUAAGGAGACAAAGCAGGUUUGAUUGGAGUAUUGGGAAAAAAAUCUGGAAAAUGGGUUUUUUAGUUACAGAGAAAGUAAGAAGUGAUUGUGUGAAGAUCCAGAUGUCUCAUUUAAGACUCAUAACCCUUACAGGAGAUUUUUUCCUUGUCUUCUAAUUUUUGUGAAGACAUGUUACCAGUACUUUACAGCUUCUUCUCCAUUCCUUUCUUGCUUCCCACUUCUUGAUCAGGGAAUAGUAUGGCACCAAGUAAGAUUUAGACUUCUCCUCCUGACUUUUACACUUAUGGCAGUAAGACAAA